AAAACAUUUUGAGCUUUAGCAGUAACAGAAGGGCAAAUUCAGUAACAGAUUUAAGUAACUGCGAUAUAUAUAUUUUUCCAUCUGUAGAUUAUCUACAGAACAUCCUGGCGAUAACAUGUACAAGACCAACAUGAAAGCAGAACUCAAGACAAAUGAGGAGAGAAAUUGAAACAAGCUGAAGAUAUUUUGGCUUCAAAUUGACUUUGCAUAACUAUGAUAUAUACAUGAUGUUAGCAAUAAAAGAACGGAAUAUAUUUACUUUCAUUUCUCAAUCCAAAAUUGGUGCAUAGGUCAGUAAGUUAGAGGAAACUAGCCCUAUAGAAUUCAUCAUCUCUGAAGAUGUCUAAAAACUGAAAAUAAGAUCAAUGAAGACUUGUUCGCUGCAUGGGAUUGUGAGACCACCCAUAGGAUGAUUGAAUCCAAACUCUUCUUCAGCUUGACUCAGCAAGUUCUGAAAGGAAGGAUUUUUCAAGUACGAUAUUGGAACAGUGAAUCUCUUCUUUUGAGUUUCUCCAACAUAGACAGCAAAGUGGCCUUUUGGAACAUUAGCAGUACUUUCCUGUGACAAGAGAAUCCUCCUUACAAUUUGUUUAGCAUUCACGAUCCUUGGCAAGCGAAUACCCAUUAUCAAAUUCUUGAUCAAGAACUCCUUGGGAUGUUUGAAUUUGGAAGACUGGAAAUCAAAGCAAGUUUGGCUCUGGGUUGCUAUCCUUGCUACUCAUACAUAUACAAGGCAAAAACUUUCACCAUACCGUCGAUUGGAUUGGGUGGAAAUUGCAAUGUGGUCCCCUGAAAAGACACAUUUCAUAAACAAUCACAUGAUUUGCCUCCCAACUAAUUUGAAGAUCAAGAAGAGAUUCAAGAAAUUUCUCUCUCUGCUAUAAUUCAUCUUGGC
rnacentral:misc_RNA from 1 species